rnacentral:rRNA from 1 species
UACGGGGGGGGCAAGCGUUGUUCGGAAUUACUGGGCGUAAAGGGCUCGUAGGCGGCCAACUAAGUCAGACGUGAAAUCCUCGCGUAACCGGGGAACUGCGUCUGAUACUGGAUGGCUUGAGUUUGGGAGAGGGAUGCGGAAUUCCAGGUGUAGCGGUGAAAUGCGUAGAUAUCUGGAGGAAUACCGGUGGCGAAGGCGGCAUUCUGGACUAUUUCUGACACUGAUGAACGAAAGCCAGGGGAGCAAACGGGG